rfam:Lepisosteus oculatus linkage group LG21, whole genome shotgun sequence.
GACAGCGGCCAUGUCACCCUGCAGCUCACAACUGGCCGCCCACUGGAGCUCAGGAGGUGUGAGCCUGGCCAGUACCUGGGUGGGAGACCCCCUGGGAAACACUAAGGUUGCUGCUGGAA